CCUACGGGAGGCAGCAGUGGGGAAUUUUGGACAAUGGACGAAAGUCUGAUCCAGCAAUGCCGCGUGCAGGACGAAGGCCUUCGGGUUGUAAACUGCUUUUGUACGGAACGAAAAGGUCUGCCUUAAUACGGUGGGCUCAUGACGGUACCGUAAGAAUAAGCACCGGCUAACUACGUGCCAGCAGCCGCGGUAAUACGUAGGGUGCAAGCGUUAAUCGGAAUUACUGGGCGUAAAGCGUGCGCAGGCGGUUAUAUAAGUCAGAUGUGAAAUCCCCGGGCUCAACCUGGGACCUGCAUUUGAGACUGUAUAGCUAGAGUACGGUAGAGGGGGAUGGAAUUCCGCGUGUAGCAGUGAAAUGCGUAGAUAUGCGGAGGAACACCGAUGGCGAAGGCAAUCCCCUGGACCUGUACUGACGCUCAUGCACGAAAGCGUGGGGAGCAAACAGGAUUAGAUACCCUGGUAGUCCACGCCCUAAACGAUGUCAACUGGUUNUUGGGUCUUCACUGACUCAGUAACGAAGCUAACGCGUGAAGUUGACCGCCUGGGGNGACGCGCGAGUUGAGUAGAAGAGUAGNGNGNGNGAGNGCGAGGACGACGACGAGGGAGAGG
rnacentral:rRNA from 1 species